rnacentral:rRNA from 1 species
UACGUAGGGGGCAAGCGUUGUCCGGAAUCAUUGGGCGUAAAGAGCGUGUAGGUGGCUCGGUAAGUCCGCUGUGAAAGUCCAGGGCUCAACCCUGGAAAGCCGGUGGAAACUGUCGAGCUCGAGUCCGGAAGAGGCGAGUGGAAUUCCUGGUGUAGCGGUGAAAUGCGCAGAUAUCAGGAGGAACACCAAUGGCGAAGGCAGCUCGCUGGGACGGUACUGACACUGAGGAGCGAAAGCAUGGGGAGCGAACAGG